CCUGAGAAACCCAAAAGAUCGAAUGGGGAGAUUCAUCGUCAGCGAUCCUGGCACUUGUGCGGUUCGUGAUGCCGGAGACUUCGCGGUUUUAUGGCACGCGUCCGUGUACGGUUUUUUUGCCGGGUGUCGUCGGCGUGCACUUCUCCUCUAGUAGGACGUCGCGACCCGUUGAGUGUCGGUCUACGGCCCGGGUGGGCGCCUGUCAUGUUGCAAGCUUCACGGCGCGUAAUGUGGCAGACCCCCGGUUGUCUGACCAGCUGCUCGGCGGUACGCGCACGGUAUCGAGUCGCAAAUAUUUGAACUGCGUCCGGCCCGCGGCAAGCGAGGCCAGUGUCUCCGGAUGUACGGACCUGGCGCCGUCACCGGGCCUGGCCAGUUGUUGGCAAUGGCGGUGUCCUGGGACAGGCUCUGAAUUAUUAUGAUACCGGUCGGCGACGCUACUGCUUUGGGUACUUUCAGGACCCGUCUUGAAACACGGACCAAGGAGUCUAACAUGUGCGCGAGUCAUUGGGACAUUAUAAGCCUAAAGGCGCAAUGAAAGUGAAGGUCGGCCUCGCGCCGACCGAGGGAGGAUGGGCCGCGUCACGAUGCGGUCCCGCACUCCCGGGGCGUCUCGUUCACAUUGCGAGAAGAGGCGCACCCAGA
rnacentral:rRNA from 1 species